AUGAAUACUAUUGCAGGAUUCUGGUGUGGUGAUGAUGGAGAGGACAAGAAGCUUUGCUUUCCGAAAAAUGAAGGUGGUACGCGAUUCCGGGAUUUACAGUCUUUUAACUUGGCCAUGUUAGCUAAGCAAGCAUGGAGGUUGAUCACCUAUCCAGGUUCGUUCUGCGCUUAAGUUCUUCGGCCAAAGUAUGACCCGGACGGGAACGUUCUCAAAGCGGGACCCAAAGGACGUUCUUCUUUUACUUGGCAAAGCCUUUGGGCUGGGAUUCAAACGUCUAGAAGAGCAUCCAUAUGGAGAACAGGAGAUGGAUGA
rnacentral:rRNA from 1 species